GGGAUAACAUUCUGAAAAGAAUGCUAAUACCGCAUGACAUAUCGGAACCACAUGGUUCUGAUAUCAAAGAUUUUAUCGCUUGAAGAUGGACUCGCGUCCGAUUAGUUAGUUGGUGAGGUAACGGCUCACCAAGACCGCGAUCGGUAGCCGGACUGAGAGGUUGAACGGCCACAUUGGGACUGAGACACGGCCCAGACUCCUACGGGAGGCAGCAGUGGGGGAUAUUGCGCAAUGGGGGCAACCCUGACGCAGCAACGCCGCGUGAAGGAUGAAGGUUUUCGGAUUGUAAACUUCUUUUAUUAAGGACGAAAAAUGACGGUACUUAAUGAAUAAGCUCCGGCUAACUACGUGCCAGCAGCCGCGGUAAUACGUAGGGAGCAAGCGUUGUCCGGAUUUACUGGGUGUAAAGGGUGCGUAGGCGGCUUUGCAAGUCAGAUGUGAAAUCUAUGGGCUCAACCCAUAAACUGCAUUUGAAACUGUAGAGCUUGAGUGAAGUAGAGGCAGGCGGAAUUCCCCGUGUAGCGGUGAAAUGCGUAGAGAUGGGGAGGAACACCAGUGGCGAAGGCGGCCUGCUGGGCUUUAACUGACGCUGAGGCACGAAAGCGUGGGUAGCAAACAGGAUUAGAUACCCUGGUAGUCCACGCUGUAAACGA
rnacentral:rRNA from 1 species